rnacentral:lncRNA from 1 species
AUGGAUGUGCAGCCAUCAUGGUCUAUGGACUGCCUAAUUUUUCCUGUAAAAACAGAAAGCUUUCUACGGCUGGGAGCUUGUAAAAACAAGCCCGAAGCUACCCGAAUUUUUAGCUUUGCACUACAAACGAGAAACUCAAUUCUCCGCUGCAGAACAUGUAUGCACCUACACACGCUCGAGCGUUUGACAAUGAGACUCAUUCAUGCAGAAGAAGACCCUUUCCAGGUGAACGUCCCCUUGUCCCGGCGCCACACGCCUCCGGGGAGCGGCCGGGGGACGCGGGGAGAGGGGCCGCGCUGCCGGGAGCGCCGGGGAGGGCGAGCAGCGAGGGCAGGGGCAGCCGCCGGGCUCCGAACGAAAGCUGCGGCCGGCACAGCGGCUCCGCCAAGGAAACCGCCUCCCCCGGCCGGGACCCGGCCCCUGGGCCAGGUGCCGCCGCCGGGGGCUCGGCAGGCCGGGGCCGAGCGGGCAGCGGCGGAGCGGGGCGCAUCCCGCCGCGCGUCCCGCUGCGCUCCCGGGGCCGCGCUCCGCAGCGCCGGGCGCGGGACCGGGAGGCGCCGUGCCCUCGUUUUACGCGGUUGGUGCGGGAGUAAAGAGUCAGCGAUCUUAAGGGCUUUGGGAGAAGAACAAGGGAAAAAAAGAAAAAAGAAAAAAAAAGAAAAAAGAAAAAAGGGAAAGGGAAGAAGGCAGAAAUGCUUGCGACGGUGUCACGGUAACUCCCCUUUCCCGGAUGCUCCGGCAGCAGCCGCGCCGAGGAAGCGGCCGGCUCCCGGGGCUCGGGGCUGGGGCCCACCCGCGGCCGGGCCCCCGCCACGGGAGCCCGGUGAGCCCGGCCGAGCCCCGCUACUGCCGCCGCGGCGGUGCCGAAAGGGGCCGGGGCUCGGGGCUGGGGCUCGGGGCUGCGCGGAAACGGAGCCCAGCGGGCGGCAGGAGGGGCCCUGCCCCGGGACCCGCUCGGGGGAGUUCCCCGCCGGAGGCUCGCUUGCUCUCCAGGAGGGAAGGAAAAAAAAAUAG